rnacentral:rRNA from 1 species
UUUUCGCAAUGCCCGAAAGGGUGACGAAGCGACGCCGCGUGGGUGAGGAAGGCCUUCGGGUUGUAAAGCCCUGUCAGGAGUUAAGAAAUGUAGGUGCGCUAAUAUCGCAUUUGCUUGACGAAGGCUCCAAAGGAAGUCACGGCUAACUCUGUGCCAGCAGCCGCGGUAAUACAGAGGUGGCAAGCGUUGUUCGGAAUUAUUGGGCGUAAAGAGCACGUAGGUGGGUUUGUAAGUCAGAUGUGAAAGCCUUCUGUUCAACGGAAGAAUUGCAUCUGAAACUGCGAAUCUUGAGUAUAGGAGGGGAAAAUGGAACUUCUGGUGGAGCGGUGAAAUGCGUAGAUAUCAGAAGGAACGCCGGCGGCGAAAGCGAUUCUCUGGCCUAUUACUGACACUCAGUGUGCGAAAGCUAGGGGAGCAAACGGGAUUAGAUACCCCGGUAGUCCUAGCCGUAAACGAUGGGCACUAAGUAGAGGGGUUUUA